rnacentral:rRNA from 1 species
AGUGAACGCUGGCGGUAGGCCUAACACAUGCCAGUCGAACGGCAGCACAGUAAGAGCUUGCUCUUACGGGUGGCGAGUGGCGGACGGGUGAGGAAUACAUCGGAAUCUACUUUUUCGUGGGGGAUAACGUAGGGAAACUUACGCUAAUACCGCAUACGACCUACGGGUGAAAGCAGGGGAUCUUCGGACCUUGCGCGAUUGAAUGAGCCGAUGUCGGAUUAGCUAGUUGGCGGGGUAAAGGCCCACCAAGGCGACGAUCCGUAGCUGGUCUGAGAGGAUGAUCAGCCACACUGGAACUGAGACACGGUCCAGAAUCAUACGGGAGGCAGCAGUGGGGAAUAUUGGACAAUGGGCGCAAGCCUGAUCCAGCCAUACCGCGUGGGUGAAGAAGGCCUUCGGGUUGUAAAGCCCUUUUGUUGGGAAAGAAAAGCAGCAGGUUAAUACCCCGCUGUUCUGACGGUACCCAAAGAAUAAGCACCGGCUAACUUCGU